UGCGGCUCGUCCGAAGAGGGGACCAGACGCGGGAUGGGGGUGGACAUCUCUCUGCUCAGCUGUCAGUAUUUCCUGGCACAGAUCCUCGUCUCUGUGGCGAUGGGACCUCUGACCUCACUGGUGGGCGGGGCUCAGGGGGUGAUGUACUUUGCAAGCCUGAUGUCAUUCGUGGGCUGCCUGUACUCCUCCCUCUGCGUGGUGUACCAGCUGCCCCCCCCUGAGGGAAGAGGAGAAGUUGAAACUGGGGUGUGAAACCAAGCAAAACAGAGGAACGGCAAACAGAGAGAAGACUCAUGUGGACUGUCGGACGGACGGCGUUAAAAAAAAACAAAACAAAAAAACAACCGUGGGGAUUCGCAGAGCCAGCAGCGAGUCCUUCCUUGUCAUCGUUAGGGUGCAUGCUUAAAAUAGUAGGCUUCUGCUCCACCGUGCUCAGCCCAUCAUUUCUGUACAGAGAUAAUCCCUCGGUUGUCUGCAGAGGUCUUCAUUGGAAGUUCUUCAUCCCCGUUAGAUCCAGAAUAACUCAUCUYCAUCAGCAAACACAUUUAAGUUGUUGAUGCAUCUGCUGUGCCAUGCCAGCUGUUCAUGAGGCAGAAACUAUGGUAAUGUAGAGCCUUUUGUUUUGACGGCUCCKCUGAGCACCUCAACCUUCAGGCGCCUCUGCAGAAUGUCAGUAAUUGCCUACUAUUGAAGCCUCYUGGACURAGCUGAUCCCCGCCACGCUAAUGUUUCUUAGGAAACAGGAACUGUCUGGAUCUCGCUGUUGCAGCUUGCUUGAGGAAGGAAGAAAUACAACACACUUUGUGUUAUAUGGUACCUCCUUACUGCUCAAUGUUGGCAUCAAUGUAAAAGCUACUUUUAUUCAGGGCUCAGUUCAAACUAAAAUGAUCAUUUUUGCCAC